UAUGGGAUCUUUAGUGGAUGACCCUAUACAGCUUCUCGAUGUGCCUAUAGUUCACAAGCUUCCAUGGCAAAGGUUGUCGCAUUCGAACCCGUCACAUGACCUUCUAUACACUACUAUGCAAUAAUGAAUUAUAAGUUCUCUAUUUAUAAUGACCGCUUAAGCUGUACCGGCUUAACGUGAAAAUAGGAGCAGUACCAAAUUGCUUUCUUUGUUAAGGUCUACUUUCAGGAAGAUCAUGAUAGUUGGAGUCCUCAGUUGCGGUUCUUGUUGCACCAAGUUGGACUAAGCUCAGCUAAUCUUUUCUAUGAGUUCAUUUUUCUCCAGUGAAAAGCAUUGAUUGUACAAUAAAGUUUAAUUUCUUCUUUCACAGAACAAUCAUUAUUCUAUUAAUUAGAUAAGAAUAUUACAGGUUCUAUCCACUAAUUUGAUGAUGUUGCUAAUGUAGAUCGAGGAAUGUUCCUCUAAGCCAAUGGGUAGCUAUAUUGAUGGUAUGAUUCUUCUGAUGCAUAUUAUUUUCUUGUUGGUUUACAUGUAAUUUGUCGUUAGCAGAAUGUGGUGGAAUAGUGUAGCUGGAUAUUCUUAUUUCUCCUUUGAGGAAGAAUAAAACUACGUAUUAUUCUAUCAGAGUUUAUAUGCUUGAUAGUUAAUACCGAAGAAACAGCUGCUUAUGAAAAUGUUUGUAAUAUUCUUCGGAAAGUCCUCUCUUGAUUUGGUUGGGCAAUCUGCUGCUAUUUAUGUUUUUAACUGUUUAUAUGCAGGAAACAGAAGCAUUAUGCUUUGCAAAAAAGCAAGUUUGGAUAAUAUGGCAUGAGAUGCUGGUAUUAUGUUUCUAAAUUACCAUGUGUUAUUAAUUUCUUUAACAGCAGGGACAUGAGAUGAGUGGGAGAUCCAAGGACCUGAUGACUCAGUUGCAGAAUAAGUUUGAAGAAGUAGAAGCAAAAAAAAUCUGAAAUUAAUAUAUCAAGCAGCAAGGCAUUCUUUGAUUACAAUUGGUGGAAUCAAUUUACAAUUAUGGAUGGGGUCUCAUGUUCUAUAAGUCGAGCAUGCUACAAUAAGAAAAUGCAAAUGAUUUUCUUUCUUAAUAGUCAAAGCAGCUUGUUUAGCAAGUAAAGCACCAAAUUAAGAGUGUUCCAGGGAGUCCAUCAAACCAAAUUAAUAGAUGAUUGGCUAUCAUUUCUUCCAAGUUUCCUUUGAUGGAAAUGGAUGAGGAUGCCUUGGAAGAGGAAUACAAAGCUCUGUUGGCUGAUAACACUGGAGAAAUGGAAUACCAGCACUCUCUAGAGAAGUUAGAGAGCCAGUUAUCUGAAAAAAGUUUCGGCAACUUGAUCUAGGUAUUGGAAAAUAUUGCAAUUCCCUUUCUUUGGUGCCCGAACAUUUUAUACUAGCAAGACUGUUCUAUUUUAUUGUUAUUUUAUUUCUUUUACAGUCUUAAUUUACUCAUGUUUGUAUAUGACUGGGCUCUCAUAUACCACUAGUUUUUGUUUCAGAUUCAUAUGCUUUGUUUCUGAAACAUUCAUUGCCAAAUUAUUUCACAUGCAGUGCUAUUUACUUCAGUUCAUUAUAACAUCAUGAUAAGACAUUGCUGUUCAUUCAUAGUUCAUCUUC